GUCUAUGGCUAUGCCACCUUGAAUGUGCCCAAUCUCAUCUGAUCUCAGCUAAGCAGGGUCAGGCCUGGUUAGUACUUGGAUGGGAGACCACCUAGGAAUACCAGAUGCUGUAGACG
rnacentral:rRNA from 1 species